rnacentral:tRNA from 1 species
GGUCUUUUAGCUCAACGGUAGAGCAUCUCUUUGUUAAAGAGCAGGUUGCUGGUUCGAAUCCGGCAGGGACCG